GACGAACGCUGGCGGCGUGCCUAAUACAUGCAAGUCGAACGCAGGGGGGACGGGGUAGUAACACGUGGGUAACCUCCCAUCAGAGGGGAUAACACUUGGAAACAGGUGCUAAACCGAUACUGAUGGAUGAACCCGCGGGGGAUUAGCUAGUUGGGGAGGUAACGGCUCACCAAGGCCACGAUGCAUAGCCGGCCUGAGAGGGGGAUCGGCCACACUGGGACUGAGACACGGUCCAGACUCCUACGGGAGGCAGCAGUAGGGAAUCUUCGGCAAUGGACGAAAGUCUGACCCAGCAACGCCGCGUGAGUGAAGAAGGUUUUCGGAUCGUAAAACUCUGUUGUUAGAGAAGCGGUAUCUAACCAGAAAGCCACGGCUAACUACGUGCCAGCAGCCGCGGUAAUAC
rnacentral:rRNA from 1 species